CAGGGAAGUAGACAACAGCCCCCCGCCACCAUCUGGGGAGGCACCUUAUGAAUGCCUACUUACGCUACCUUCUUGUGAGUGCAUCUAAUUAUAGUGCACAUAAUUUCACUAUGUGGGUUUACACUAGGCCUAGAACCGAACCAUACCAGACAAAAUUGCCUAUAAAAGCCGCAAUAUCGCAGCCUAAGUGCAAACUGAACAUGGACAAACAAGACAAGUCCAAUUUCUUUGCCUCCAGAACGGUCAGGGGAAGAAUCUCCAAUUUUCUCCCACCAGACACACCUUGAGACAUCCUGCUCAGAC